rnacentral:rRNA from 1 species
UGGGGAAUAUUGGACAAUGGGCGAAAGCCUGAUCCAGCCAUGCCGCGUGUGUGAAGAAGGUCUUCGGAUUGUAAAGCACUUUAAGUUGGGAGGAAGGGCAGUAAAUUAAUACUUUGCUGUUUUGACGUUACCGACAGAAUAAGCACCGGCUAACUCUGUGCCAGCAGCCGCGGUAAUACAGAGGGUGCAAGCGUUAAUCGGAAUUACUGGGCGUAAAGCGCGCGUAGGUGGUUCGUUAAGUUGGAUGUGAAAUCCCCGGGCUCAACCUGGGAACUGCAUUCAAAACUGACGAGCUAG